rfam:Oryza glaberrima chromosome 3 Oglab03_0141_13, whole genome shotgun sequence.
GGGGUGGUGGCGCAGUUGGCUAGCGCGUAGGUCUCAUAGCUAAAAUAAGCGAGUGAUCCUGAGGUCGAGAGAGUUCGAGCCUCUCUCACCCCA